rnacentral:rRNA from 1 species
GGUCAUUGCUAUUGGGGUCCGAUUUAGCCAUGCUAGUUGUACGAGCUUAGACUCGUUGCGGAAAGCUCAGUAACACGUGGACAAACUACCCUACGGAGAGCCAUAACCUCGGGAAACUGAGGCUAAUAGUUCAUAGGAGAGUCGCGCUGGAAAUGCCGACUCUCCCAAACGCUCCGGCGCCGUAGGAUGUGUCUGCGGCCGAUUAGGUAGACGGUGGGGUAACGGCCCACCGUGCCGAUAAUCGGUACGGGUUGUGAGAGCAAGAGCCCGGAGACGGAAUCUGAGACAAGAUUCCGGGCCCUACGGGGCGCAGCAGGCGCGAAACCUUUACACUGCACGCAAGUGCGAUAAGGGGACCCCAAGUGCGAGGGCAUAUAGUCCUCGCUUUUCCGANUGGUAAGGCGGUCGUGGAAUAAGAGCUGGGCAAGACCGGUGCCAGGCCGCCGCGGUAAUACCGGCAGCUCAAGUGAUGACCGAUAUUAUUGGGCCUAAAGCGUCCGUAGCCGGGCCACCGAAGGUUCAUCGGGAAAUCCGCCGCUCAACCUGGCGGGGCGGUCCGUGAAACCCACGUGGCUGGGGACCGAAAGGGAUGCUCGCUAGGUGUGGGCACAGGCUACGAGCCCUGUGCUGUGCCGUAGGGUAGCCGAGAAAGCGACCCCCUUGGGAAAGUCCGUUCGCAAGGGAUGAAACUUAAAGGAAUUGGCGGGGGAGCACUUCAACCGGGAGGAAGCCUGCGGUUUAAUUGGUCUCAACGCGGACCAUGUCACCAAGCUCGGAUACAGUGAUGACGAUCAGGUUGAUGGCCUUAUCACGACGCUGUAGAGAGGAGGUGCAUGGACGCCGUCAGCUGGUUCCGUGAGGUGUCCUGUUAAGUCAGGCAACGAGCGAGACCCGCACUUUUAAUUGCCAGCAGCAGUUUCGACUGGCUGGGUACAUUAGAAGGACUGCCGCUGUUAAAGCGGAGGAAGGAACGGGCAACGGUAGGUCAGUAUGCCCCGAAUGAGCUGGGCUACACGCGGGCUACAAUGGUCGAGACAAUGGGUUGCUAUCUCGAAAGAGAACGCUAAUCUCCUAAACUCGAUCGUAGUUCGGAUUGAGGGCUGAAACUCGCCCUCAUGAAGCUGGAUUCGGUAGUAAUCGCAUUUCAAUAGAGUGCGGUGAAUACGUCCCUGCUCCUUGCACACACCGCCCGUCAAAGCACCCGAGUGAGGUCCGGAUGAGGCCACCACACGGUGGUCGAAUCUGGGCUUCGCAAGGGGGCUUAAGUCGUAACAAGGU